UACAGAGGUCUCAAGCGUUGUUCGGAUUCAUUGGGCGUAAAGGGUGUGUAGGUGGCGCCGUAAGUCGGGUGUGAAAUUUCGGAGCUUAACUCCGAAACUGCAUUCGAUACUGCGGUGCUUGAGGACUGGAGAGGAGACUGGAAUUCAUGGUGUAGCAGUGAAAUGCGUAGAGAUCAUGAGGAAGACUAGUGGCGAAGGCGGGUCUCUGGACAGUUCCUGACACUGAGACACGAAGGCCAGGGGAGCAAACGGG
rnacentral:rRNA from 1 species